UGGCGCACGGGUGAGUAACACGUGACUAACCUACCCUUGAGUGGGGGAUAACUGAGGGAAACCUUAGCUAAUACCGCAUAAUACCCACGGGUCAAAGGAGCAAUUCGCUCGAGGAGGGGGUCGCGGCCGAUUAGUUAGUUGGCGGGGUAAUGGCCCACCAAGACGAUGAUCGGUAUCCGGCCUGAGAGGGCGCACGGACACACUGGAACUGAAACACGGUCCAGACUCCUACGGGAGGCAGCAGUGGGGAAUUUUGCGCAAUGGGGGAAACCCUGACGCAGCAACGCCGCGUGGAGGAUGAAGUCCUUCGGGACGUAAACUCCUUUCGAUCGGGACGAUUAUGACGGUACCGGAAGAAGAAGCCCCGGCUAACUUCGUGCCAGCAGCCGCGGUAAUACGAGGGGGGCGAGCGUUGUUCGGAAUUAUUGGGCGUAAAGGGUGCGUAGGCGGUUUGGUAAGUCUGAUGUGAAAUCUAUGGGCUCAACUCAUAGUCUGCAUCGGAAACUGCCGGGCUUGAGUGUGGGAGAGGUGAGUGGAAUUUCCGGUGUAGCGGUGAAAUGCGUAGAUAUCGGAAGGAACACCUGUGGCGAAAGCGGCUCACUGGACCACAACUGACGCUGAUGCACGAAAGCUAGGGGAGCAAACAGGAUUAGAUACCCUGGUAGUCCUAGCCCUAAACGAUGACUGCUUGGUGUGACGGGUACCCAAUCCCGCCGUGCCGUAGCUAACGCGUUAAGCAGUCCGCCUGGGGAGUACGGUCGCAAGGCUGAAACUCAAAGGAAUUGACGGGGGCCCGCACAAGCGGUGGAGCAUGUGGUUUAAUUC
rnacentral:rRNA from 1 species